UGCAAGAGUGGGAUAUCUGCGUGAAUCCGCGGCUAAUACCGCAUAAUUGUCUUUUUCAGAUGAGCGAAUGGCGAUAGAUGGUUUCGUUUAUCACUUUCUGAUGGCAUUGCGGCGCAUCAGGUAGUUGGUCAGGUAUCUGUUCUCCAAGCCAACGAUGCGUAGCCGACCUGAGAGGGUGAUCGGCCACAGUGGGAUUGAGACACGGCCCAGAGUCCUACGGGAGGCAGCAGUAGGGAAUCUUCUGCAAUGGACGAAAGUCUGACGGAGCAACGCCGCGUGAGUGAUGAAGGUUUUCGGAUCGUAAAACUCUGUUGUUAGGGAAGAACAAGUACCGGAGUAACUGCCGGUACUUUGACGGUACCUAACCAGAAAGCCACGGCUAACUACGUGCCAGCAGCCGCGGUAAUACGUAGGUGGCAAGCGUUGUCCGGAAUUAUUGGGCGUAAAGCGCGCGCAGGCGGUUCCUUAAGUCUGAUGUGAAAGCCCCCGGCUCAACCGGGGAGGGUCAUUGGAAACUGGGGAACUUGAGUGCAGAAGAGAAGAGUGGAAUUCCACGUGUAGCGGUGAAAUGCGUAGAGAUGUGGAGGAACACCAGUGGCGAAGGCGACUCUUUGGUCUGUAACUGACGCUGAGGCGCGAAAGCGUGGGGAGCAAACAGGAUUAGAUACCCUGGUAGUCCACGCCGUAAACGAUGAGUGCUAAGUGUUAGAGGGUUUCCGCCCUUUAGUGCUGCAGCAAACGCAUUAAGCACUCCGCCUGGGGAGUACGGCCGCAAGGCUGAAACUCAAAGGAAUUGACGGGGGCCCGCACAAGCGGUGGAGCAUGUGGUUUAAUUCGAAGCAACGCGAAGAACCUUACCAGGUCUUGACAUCUCCUGACAACCCUAGAGAUAGGGCGUUCCCCUUCGGGGGACAGGAUGACAGGUGGUGCAUGGUUGUCGUCAUCUCGUGUCGUGAGAUGUUGGGUUAAGUCCCGCAACUAGCGCAACCCUUGAUCUUAUUUGCCAGCAUUCAGUUGGGCACUCUAAGGUGACUGCCGGUGACAAACCGGAGGAAGGUGGGGAUGACUUCAAGUCAUCAUGCCCCUUAUCACCUGGGCUACGCACGAGCUACAAUGGAUAGUACUGACGGCUGCUAGACCGCAAGGAUACGCAAAUCCCAUAAUACCUUUCUGACAUCAGAUUGCAGGAUACGUCUCUCCUGAAUGAUGCCCGAAACUCUAG
rnacentral:rRNA from 1 species